UUCGGAUGCUGACGAGUGGCGGACGGGUGAGUAAUGCGUAGGAAUCUGUCUUUGAGUGGGGGACAACCCAGGGAAACUUGGGCUAAUACCGCAUAAGCCCUGAGGGGGAAAGCGGGGGAUCUUCGGACCUCGCGCUGGAAGAGGAGCCUACGUCUGAUUAGCUAGUUGGUAGGGUAAAGGCCUACCAAGGCGACGAUCGGUAGCUGGUCUGAGAGGACGACCAGCCACACUGGGACUGAGACACGGCCCAGACUCCUACGGGAGGCAGCAGUGGGGAAUUUUUCGCAAUGGGGGCGACCCUGACGAAGCAAUGCCGCGUGAAUGAAGAAGGCCUUCGGGUUGUAAAGUUCUUUCGUGGAAGGACGAAAAGGUGGGUGCUAAUAUCGCCUGCUGUUGACGUGUAAUCCAAGAAGAAGCACCGGCUAACUCCGUGCCAGCAGCCGCGGUAAUACGGGGGGUGCAAGCGUUAAUCGGAAUCACUGGGCGUAAAGGGUGCGUAGGCGGUGCAUUAGGUCUGUCGUGAAAUCCCCGGGCUCAACCUGGGAAUGGCGGUGGAAACCGGUGUACUAGAGUAUGGGAGAGGGUGGUGUAAUUCCAGGUGUAGCGGUGAAAUGCGUAGAGAUCUGGAGGAACAUCAGUGGCGAAGGCGGCCACCUGGCCCAAUACUGACGCUGAGGCACGACAGCGUGGGGAGCAUACAGGAUUAGAUACCCGGGUAGUCCACGCCCUUACACGAUGAAUACUAGAUGUCUGGUGCCAAGCGUACUGAGUGUCGUAGCUCAAGC
rnacentral:rRNA from 1 species